AACGAACGCUGGCGGCAGGCCUAACACAUGCAAGUCGAGCGCCCCGCAAGGGGAGCGGCGGACGGGUGAGUAACGCGUGGGAAUAUGCCCUUUGCUACGGAAUAGUCUCGGGAAACUGGGGGUAAUACCGUAUACGCCCUUUGGGGGAAAGAUUUAUCGGCUAAGGAUUAGCCCGCGUUGGAUUAGGUAGUUGGUGGGGUAAUGGCCUACCAAGCCGACGAUCCAUAGCUGGUUUGAGAGGAUGAUCAGCCACACUGGGACUGAGACACGGCCCAGACUCCUACGGGAGGCAGCAGUGGGGAAUCUUAGACAAUGGGGGCAACCCUGAUCUAGCCAUGCCGCGUGAGUGAUGAAGGCCUUAGGGUUGUAAAGCUCUUUCAGCUGGGAAGAUAAUGACGGUACCAGCAGAAGAAGCCCCGGCUAACUCCGUG
rnacentral:rRNA from 1 species